CCUAACAAAACAUUUUUGCAGUGCAAAUAAGUCCUCUGUGUGGGAGGCCAACUUUUUAAAUGUGCAGUGUAUCAUUUUAAAAUUCCCUUGGGGCUCUAACCUUGUAGACAGAUGUCUUAAACACUGGUAAUGUGUCUAAGUGACUUUUCACAGUGAUCUGUCCAGACAGCAUCUGCUCAGCAAAGCUGUCUUUUAGCAGACCAGUACAGGACAGCAUCAAAUCUGUAUUUGAUAUAUUUCAUCCUAGUCUGAAUGAGGAGAACUCAGCCUGCCACACCUGAGCCACCUCUGCAGGAAGAGCUAGGACAAAAAUCAGUGACUUCAUUUUGACCCAAGCAGCUUUUCAAUUACAUCAGUUCCGUGUUUUCAGAUUCUUCAAGUUGCCCUACCAUGAUGACAGAAAACUUCUGAAGGAAAAGAUACUGAGAUUCCACAGGAACUCAUGCGAGAAGGUGAGAACACUGAUCAAUUAGGCAUACAGAAACCUAAAGUCACUUUUGGAGAAAUGAGGAUGAAGAGGUUCUGCGGCACGGGGAAGGCGAGAGGAGGUCCCUGCCCCUGGCUCCUGUUGCCUCAUCGCUGUUUUAACAAAAUCCCAGCUCUUGGCUCCAGCCCAUCGGACUCUGGCUGAGCCACACUGAUCUCUGCCUGCUCCCAAAACGUCACUGCAGCUGAGAAUUCAGCCACCAGCUGUGGAAAAGCUCCAUUCGAUGCACAGCAUGGUAGCUGCUGCCGCUUAGUGGCAUGAGCUACUGAGUGCACAUUUCAUCCACUGUGCUCCCCGUGUUGGCUUACGGCAGGAUACGAACUGAAACUGAAAUCCUGCAUUCCCGAAGUCAGAGCAAACCCAUUUGCUUCACUGAAUCCAGAAUACCGCUAUGGAUCCCAAUACCCCCAA
rnacentral:lncRNA from 1 species